rnacentral:rRNA from 1 species
GUAGUCCACGCUGUAAACGAUGUCGAUUUGGAGGUUGUGCCCUUGAGGCGUGGCUUCCGGAGCUAACGCGUUAAAUCGACCGCCUGGGGAGUACGGCCGCAAGGUUAAAACUCAAAUGAAUUGACGGGGGCCCGCACAAGCGGUGGAGCAUGUGGUUUAAUUCGAUGCAACGCGAAGAACCUUACCUGGUCUUGACAUCCACAGAACUUUCCAGAGAUGGAUUGGUGCCUUCGGGAACUGUGAGACAGGUGCUGCAUGGCUGUCGUCAGCUCGUGUUGUGAAAUGUUGGGUUAAGUCCCGCAACGAGCGCAACCCUUAUCCUUUGUUGCCAGCGGUUCGGCCGGGAACUCAAAGGAGACUGCCAGUGAUAAACUGGAGGAAGGUGGGGAUGACGUCAAGUCAUCAUGGCCCUUACGACCAGGGCUACACACGUGCUACAAUGGCAUAUACAAAGAGAAGCGACCUCGCGAGAGCAAGCGGACCUCAUAAAGUAUGUCGUAGUCCGGAUUGGAGUCUGCAACUCGACUCCAUGAAGUCGGAAUCGCUAGUAAUCGUAGAUCAGAAUGCUACGGUGAAUACGUUCCCGGGCCUUGUACACACCGCCCGUCACACCAUGGGAGUGGGUUGCAAAAGAAGUAGGUAGCUUAACCUUCGGGAGGGCGCUUACCACUUUGUGAUUCAUGACUGGGGUG